GGCUCGACCGUCUUGAACGACCUGCCCGAGUGGCUCGUCGUCGAUGAGAUCCUUGUCCGCUUGCCUGUCAAAGACAUACUCCGCUGCCGCGCCGUCCGAAAGUCAUGGCACAACGGCACUUCCACCGACGCGUUCAUCCUUGGCCACCACCGCCGCCAGCACUCGCUCCCCAUCAUCAAACCCCGAAAGGACAUCUGCCGCGUCGUCGGAGCCUCCAAUGAUCUAAAGAUGCAGCCCGUCCUCCGAUACGCAUUCGCUACCAUUGUACACCGCGCCAUCUGUGAUGGCCUCCUUAUCUUAUCGCGGCAAUCCGAUUACUACAUCUGCAACCCGGCCACCCACAAGUGGGCGUCCAUGCCACAUCCCCCUCAGCGACAACCAAACAACACGGCCGUCAGCCUAGCUGGCUUCUAUCGGCACCACCCAUCUGGAGAACACCGAGUGCUUUGGGUGUCAUACCCGACAAAGGCCGCCGCCAAGGGCGAUGUAGCAGUUGAGUUGAUUGAGUACUUCGUCCUCACAGUAGGAUCGGACCAGCCAAGAUGCAUCCAAUGGCCAGCAGUUUUAGAACAAUGGUUUGUUCCUGCUAUCUGGUCCUACCAAUGCCCACCAAUCCUCCAUCGUCGUAACCUGCAUUGGUUAAUGGAUUUCAACUUAACGGUAUUUGACACCAUAGCUGAGACGUUCCGACAGAUGAACCGCCCAGCACAACUGGGCGAUUAUGUGUCAUUGUUGGAUACGGGCAACACCCUUGCUUUGUGUCGCACUGAUCAUAAUUGUGUCACUUUAGAUGUUUGGGUGUUGCAGGACUAUGAUGCCGAGACAUGGAGCUUUCAAUUCCAGAUUAACUUGUUAGCGAUGGAGGCAUCACCACCGCUUAAUUUUAAGGGGAUAGAUACUCCUAAAAUGGCUGUGAUCAACGAGCGUGAGCUAUUGAUUGAGCAAUGUCCUCGCCGUCUUUUGCAUUGCGACAUUGAUGGUGUGCUUUUAGGCAAUGUAGAAAGCAAAGAGCACAGGAACUUCUUGACACUUACUAGGCAUCGCCUCCAAGAGAGCAUGAUUUCGCUCCCAUUGUUUGAGACGCAAAAGGAAGCAAUGAACAAGGAGCCUCCAUUCGCC
rnacentral:rRNA from 1 species